UAUGAACGAGCAUUGUCAAAUUAUGAAUGUUAGGAAACACAUAUAUUAGCAUGCACGAACUUCAAGGCUUUCCGAGUACGCCGACAUCGACGACGGUGAGGAGGAUUUUGUUUCUACAUUUUGUAUUUUUCUUUUAUUUCUACAUUUUGUAGUACCCAUAGGUUGUAAUGCUAUGUAAUAGAUAUAUGUUGGAAUUCUUAAUCAGGGG
rnacentral:lncRNA from 1 species